rnacentral:rRNA from 1 species
UACGUAGGUGGCAAGCGUUGUCCGGAAUUAUUGGGCGUAAAGCGCGCGCAGGCGGUCCUUUAAGUCUGAUGUGAAAGCCCACGGCUCAACCGUGGAGGGUCAUUGGAAACUGGGGGACUUGAGUACAGAAGAGGAAAGCGGAAUUCCAAGUGUAGCGGUGAAAUGCGUAGAGAUUUGGAGGAACACCAGUGGCGAAGGCGGCUUUCUGGUCUGUAACUGACGCUGAGGCGCGAAAGCGUGGGGAGCAAACAGGG